GACGAACGCUGGCGGCGUGCUUAACACAUGCAAGUCGAGCGGUAAGGCCCUUCGGGUACGACGAGCGGCGAACGGGUGAGUAACACGUGGGUGGACCUGCCCUCCACUUCGGGAGUAAGCCUGGGAAACCGGGUCGUAAUACCGGAUAGGACCUCUGGAUGCAUGUCUGGUGGUGGAUAGUCUGUGUCUUGACUGAUGCUGG
rnacentral:rRNA from 1 species